GGUUAAGUGGGAAACGAUGUGGGAAGGCCCAGACAGCCAGGAUGUUGGCUUAGAAGCAGCCAUCAUUUAAAGAAAGCGUAAUAGCUCACUGGUCGAGUCGGCCUGCGCGGAAGAUGUAACGGGGCUAAACCAUGCACCGAAGCUGCGGCAGCGACGCUUAUGCGUUGUUGGGUAGGGGAGCGUUCUGUAAGCCUGUGAAGGUGUACUGUGAGGUAUGCUGGAGGUAUCAGAAGUGCGAAUGCUGACAUAAGUAACGAUAAAGCGGGUGAAAAGCCCGCUCGCCGGAAGACCAAGGGUUCCUGUCCAACGUUAAUCGGGGCAGGGUGAGUCGACCCCUAAGGCGAGGCCGAAAGGCGUAGUCGAUGGGAAACAGGUUAAUAUUCCUGUACUUGGUGUUACUGCGAAGGGGGGACGGAGAAGGCUAUGUUGGCCGGGCGACGGUUGUCCCGGUUUAAGCGUGUAGGCUGGUUUUCCAG
rnacentral:rRNA from 1 species